ensembl:snRNA U6 U6 spliceosomal RNA
UUGCUCGCUUCGGCAGCACAUAUACUAAAAUUGGAAUGAUACAGAGAAGAUACGCAUGGCCCCUGUGCAGGGAUGACAUGCACAUUUGUGAAGCGUUCCAUAUUUUU